rnacentral:rRNA from 1 species
GGGCCUGGUUAUCAAAACAUUGACNGUGUUUUUGUAGCGCAGGGGGGUGUCUUCUAAAUAAAGACCAGCAUGAAUGGCAAGACGAAAGCCUCACUGUCUCCCUAAAUCUAUCAAUGAAAUUGAUCUUCCCGUGCAGAAGCGGGAAUAAUGUUAUAAGACGAGAAGACCCUGCGGAGCUUUAAACUCUAAUUAACAAUUAUAAUGCUUUAAUAACCAGUUUUAGGUUGGGGCGACCAUGAGGUACAAUUUAACCCUCACGAUAUAAUCAAGAAGAACACUUCAAACAACUAACACUAGCACUUUGACCCAAUAAUUGAUCAACGAACCAAGUUACCCCAGGGAUAACAGCGCAAUCCGCUCAAAAAGUCCUUAUUAACGAGCAGGUUUACGACCUCGAUGUUGGAUCAGGACACCCAAAUAGUGCAACAGCCAUUAAAGGUUCGUUUGUUCAACGAUUAAAGUCCU